CCUACGGGAGACAGCAGUGAGGAAUAUUGGUCAAUGGACGAGAGUCUGACCCAGCCAAGUCGCGUGAAGGAUGACUGCCCUAUGGGUUGUAAACUUCUUUUAUAAAGGAAUAAAACGACGCACGUGUGCCUUUUUGCAUUUACUUUAUCAAUAAGGAUCGGCUAACUCCGUGCCAUCAGCCGCGGUACUACGGAGGAUACGAGCGUUAUCCGGAUUUAUUGGGGUUAAAGGGAGCGUAGAUGGGUUGUUAAGUCAGGUGUGAAAGUUUGCGGCUCAACCGUAAAAUUGCAAUUGAUACUGGCAGUCUUGAGUACAGUAGAGGUAGGCGGAAUUCGUGGUGUAGCGGUGAAAUGCUUAGAUAUCACGAAGAACACCGAUUGCGAAGGCAGCUUACUAAAAUGUGACUGACAUUGAUGCUCGAAAGUGUGGGUAUCAAACAGGAUUAGAUACCCUUGUAGUC
rnacentral:rRNA from 1 species